UAUAGAUUUGGGGAAGAAAACCACAGAGAUGAUGUGCCCUUCUCAUCCCAACAUAUCAGGGAGUAUUUGAUACCAAAUUCUAUCGCUGGUGAUGUUAACCUUGGUCACUUGGUUAAAAUGGUGUCUGCCAGGUUCCCUCCUAUGAAGUCACUAUUUUUCCCUUUCCAUAAUCUACUUUUUGGAAUCAAGUCGUGAAGUCCAGCCCGUCUAUCAAUGGGAGCUUAUUUCAGUGAACUGGCCACAUUUCAAGUUCUCAAUGGCCAUAUGACUCAGGCUACCAUAUUGGAGAGCACAGCUCUAGACCUUUUUGAAACCAGUGCAGGGCAGGCCAGGAUCUUGAUAUUUGGCUUCUUUGUGACGGCAAAAUGGGAACAGAGAGACUGCUGAGAGGUGACUGUGAUUGGGCAGAGAUUUGGACCAGGAGAGAGCAUGAGAGGAUGCUGGACCAUGCUGCCAUUCUGGGGGAAAGGUGGAGUGUGAAAUGAGCUGACAGAAGAGACCAACAUGGAGAGCCUCACCCCCACGGCCCACAGCAGACACAUCACAGAGUUACCAGGAAUUCCAGAAAGGAAGUCAAGUGAUGAAAGACUGAAGGAUGGGAACCCUGGGAGGACUGCUCCCUAAGGGAAGCUGGGUGGAAAGUUCUCACGGAGUCCAGCCCCGUUCCGCCUGCUCUGCCCUGGGGGUCUCCCAGCCCCUGUCCCUCUGCAAAUUGAGGAGCGGUCCUAAUUGCCAGUUGCCUUAAAGAGUUUGGGGAAACUGAAGACUGGGGUCCUUUAUAGGCAGGUUCUGGAUCAAGAGGGGUGGGGAGAGGCCCUGGAUUUGGAUCCCUGAAAUCCACAGAAAACCCUGCCCUUACACUACUUUAUUUUAAAGGUUUUGUUUUUUUUUUUAAAUUACAAAAGUAAAACAAGCAUGCUGUAAAAAUAGCAUAAACAUAUACAGUGCAUAGGCUGGGCUCGGUGGCUCAUGUCUGUAAUCUCAGCACUUUGGGAGGCCGAGGAAGAUGGAUCACGAGGUCAGGAGUUCAAGACCAACCUGGCCAAGAUGGUGAAACCCUGUCUCUACUAAAAAUACAAAAAUUAGCCGGGCAUGGUGGCAGGCACCUGUAAUCCCAGGUACUCGGGAGGCUGAGGCAGGAGAAUCGCUUGAACCUGGGGGCAGAGGUUGCAGUGAGCCAAGAUCGUGCCACUGCACUGCACUCCAGCCUGGGCGACAGAAUGAUACUCCAUCUCAGGAAACAAACAAACAAACAAACAAAAACCAUAUACAGUGCAUAAAGAAAAAGGCAGAAGUCCUUCUCCAGGUGGCCUCCCUGCCCAAAUCUGCUUCUCAGGGUGGGCCCUGAGGCUGCUGGAGUCUCCUGUGCUGGGGAGCCCUCCACGCUGCCUCCCUCCAGGCCUUUAAUCCAGUCUUGAGGUGCCCGAAUCUCUGUUUUGUACACCUGCACACCUUCUAGUGGGGGUACUUUGCAAACUCAAUGUGAGGACAAGCAGAUGGAAUGGCAAGUGGCAGGUGUGGCCUAAGGUAUCCUCCCAUCGGGCUCCCCCACCCUUGGAAAUUAGGAUCUUAAAUUUUGGUCCUGACCAAGUCCCGCUAAAACUUGGCUACUAGGUUGGUUUUCCAAUUCCAGGGCCAAAAGGAAACUGGGAACAAUGCUACCUACUAGCAAAAGAAAAAAAACCAAAUUUGUUAGAACAGUGACCCUAACUAGUCAAAGGCAGUGCUUUCACCUAGAGGUAAUAAUAAUAACCACUUCUGGGAGCCCUUAUUGAAGGCUGGGCUUUGCUUUAAGAGUGAGGACUGCUAAUAUUUCUCUUUUCUAGAUGAGGACACUGGUGCUCAGGGAGGUUCACUGCAGGAGGCAGGAGAGUGCAGUGGUGAGGAGCUCAGGCUCUGCGGCCCGACCACCUGGUCAUCCAUCCUGGUUCUGCUGCUUAUCAGCUGUGUGACCUCAGACUUACAUUAUGGAGUCUCUCAUGACUUGGUUUCCUCUCUAGUAAAAUGGGGAUGAUGACAGUGUCUCCCUCCAAGGGGGGUGGUGAUUAAAUGAGUUACUAUGUGGCUGGGCAUUGUGGCUCAUGCCUGUAAUUGCAGCAUUUUGGGAGGCUGCAGCAGGAGGAUCACUUGAGCCAGGAGUUUGAGGUUACAGGGAGCUAUAAUCGCACCACUGUGCUCCAGCCUGGGUGACAGAGUGAGACCUUGUCUCAGAAAA